rnacentral:rRNA from 1 species
UGAUGCAGCCCUGCAGCGUGUAUGAUGAAGGCCUUCGGGUUGUAAAGUACUUUCGGCGGGGAGGAAGGGAGUAAAGUUAAUACCUUUGCUCAUUGACGUUACCCGCACAAGAAGCCCCGGCUAACUCCGUGCCAGCAGCCGCGGUAAUAA